rnacentral:misc_RNA from 1 species
GUGAAUCAUCAAAUCUUUGAACGCAAAUUGCACUCUCUGCUGAUAGGAUGCCUAUUUGAGUGUCAGCCUAAAAAAAAUCAACAUAUUUUCUGUUACGCUGUAACAUUCGUCGGUAAUUGGUUCAUCGUAAACCUUUCGUUUUAAGCGACGUAAAAUUUUCUUUACGAUUCCAAGAACGGUUCUAAGAUUUUAUGUUCUUAUACAUUUAAGGUAUCGAUCUUUAUUAGACGUGGCCGUGACUGCGGAU